rnacentral:tRNA from 1 species
AGUUCAAUGGCUGAGUUAUAAGCAUUAGAUUGUAAAUCUAAAAACGGGGGACCCCUUGGACUA